rnacentral:snoRNA from 1 species
CCUGCCCCUAGAGGCCUUGGAGGUGUGGCUGCUGUAUUACAUGUGUAUCAAUAGGUGGCAAAAAGCCGAGAGGCUGUUGUCUACACUCAGUGUUCUGAUCUACGAACAUUUGAAUGAUUAGUACCCUAACAUC